rnacentral:rRNA from 1 species
UACGAAGGGGGCUAGCGUUGCUCGGAAUCACUGGGCGUAAAGGGUGCGUAGGCGGGUUUUUAAGUCAGGGGUGAAAUCCUGGAGCUCAACUCCAGAACUGCCUUUGAUACUGUAGGGCUUGAGUACAGUUGCCGUUGGCGGAAUAUGACAUGUAGUGGUGAAAUACAUAGAGAUGUCAUAGAACACCGAUUGCGAAGGCAGCUAACGAAGCUGUAACUGACGCUGAGGCUCGAAAGUGCGGGGAUCAAACAGG